AUGGAGACGAAUGAGAAGAACGCCGCUGAUUUGGAGGACAAGAACCAGCCCAGCGGGCACGGCCAGCAGCCGAGCUUCCACGGGCCCGGGUUCUCGCUCUCGCCGGAAGCUCAGAUGGAUUCUUCCAGCAGUGCGCUGGCCGCCAUGGGGAACCCGUUCCCUCCUGGCUUGUGGAACCCACCUGGCCAGAACUUCGGGCUGGGGGAGACCAACACUAACGCUAUGCUUAAUGGGCACCAGUUCUCCUCGUUCUUGGGGAUGCUGUCAGCAGCGACGCCCGCAUAUCCCGGCGCCCAGUCGGGGUUCAUGGAUUGUGGGGCAGGGUUUCCUGGCUUAAGUGCAAACAGUCUUGGAGCCAUGAUGGAUCACCCUUUUUCUAGGAACCCUGCUAUGGGUAGUUUCCAAAACGAUAUUGAGACGUCUAGGGAGAUGAAUGUGGACGAAGGUUGCAAGGAUGCAUUAUUGACCGGUGAUAGGCAGCAAGGAGACACCGAGAGUUCACAUGGUGUUGAUGCCUCUAGCAAGGAGUUAAGCAAGCCGGAGUGCAGUGGUGGCGCUGGUCAGGAUGAAGGGCCUAGUGUCUCUUGUCCCAAGAAGAGGAAAAGACCAAGCCAGGAUCGUGGGGUGAAGCAUGUACAAGAAGGGAGCCAGCAAUUGGCAACUCUGGCUGCAAAGCAGGAGAAAGAUGACGACGACAAAGAUGAACCAAAGAGGCCUGUUGGGACAUCCAGAAAGUCCAACGGGAAGCAAACUGAGGAUAAAUCUGAUGCGCCAAAGGAAGAUUACAUUCAUAUAAGAGCUCGAAGUGGCCAGGCUACAAACAGCCAUAGUCUUGCAGAAAGGGUUCGGAGGGAAAAGAUUAGUGAAAGGAUGAAAUUUCUUCAGGACCUUGUUCCUGGUUGUAGUAAAGUCAUUGGUAAGGCCGUUAUGCUGGAUGAGAUAAUCAAUUAUGUUCAAUCAUUACAGCGGCAAGUUGAGUUUUUGUCGAUGAAACUUUCAGCUGUCAAUCCAGCACUAGACUUCAACAUAGAGCGCAUUCUAUCUAAGGAUUUAUUUCAGUCUCAAGGAACUGCAUCGUCUACCUUUGGCUUCUUACCAGACAUUGGCCAUCAAUUUUUGCAUCCACCAAAACAUUCUCAAGCUGCGUUGCACAGCAUUGUAAAUCCCGCCGAUGCAUUUGGAAGGGUAACAAAUGCUCCGGUAGGAUGUACAUUCAAAGAGGCCACACAUCAGGUGCCCAAUAAUUUUGAUGGAGAGUUCCACAACGUGAUUGGGAUGCCUUUUACCCUGUUUAAUGACCAUGAAUCAAAUGAUAAACCUUGA
rnacentral:rRNA from 1 species